rnacentral:lncRNA from 1 species
AAAACAGGUACUAGAAACUUUUGACUGGAAAAGGUGAGGUGAAGUAAUCCUCAAGCRUUAUCCUCUCCUGCUUUUUCUCAGAUGAGAGGGAGAGGGAGAGAGCGCAGUGCAGGGCUCCUGCCUUCAAGAGAAUGAUGAACUGUGGAUGCUGGUGAGAGGUUGAUUUCACAGUCCCCUGCAGCGUGAAGUCCAUGCAUCAACACCCAGWGGAAUAGCAUGGAGAAGUGUUCAGACAAUUGCAGGCAGAUUAACCAUGUUCAGAGGGUUGGUGCUUGGAUUCUGAACAUCGCUCUGGAAGACUGGAAGCUCUGUUGUCUGUCUGCCAUGUAAAGAAAAAGAACAACAAUAAA